GCCUGGCUAGCUCAAUCGGCAGAGCGUGAGACUCUUAAUCUCAAGGUUGCGGGUUCAACCCCCGCGUUGGGCU
rfam:Aspergillus ustus strain 3.3904 ATSC_59, whole genome shotgun sequence.